rnacentral:rRNA from 1 species
AGUGAACGCUGGCGGUAGGCCUAACACAUGCAAGUCGAACGGCAGCACAGUAAGAGCUUGCUCUUACGGGUGGCGAGUGGCGGACGGGUGAGGAAUACAUCGGAAUCUACUUUUUCGCGGGGGAUAACGUAGGGAAACUUACGCUAAUACCGCAUACGACCUACGGGUGAAAGCAGGGGAUCUUCGGACCUUGCGCGAUUGAAUGAGCCGAUGUCGGAUUAGCUAGUUGGCGGGGUAAAGGCCCACCAAGGCGACGAUCCGUAGCUGGUCUGAGAGGAUGAUCACCCGCACUGGAACUGGGACACGGUCCAGACUCCUACGGGAGGCAGCAGUGGGGAAUAUUGGACAAUGGGCGCAAGCCUGAUCCAGCCAUACCGCGUGGGUGAAGAAGGCCUUCGGGUUGUAAAGCCCUUUUGUUGGGAAAGAAAAGCAGCAGGUUAAUACCCCGCUGUUCUGACGGUACCCAAAGAAUAAGCACCGGCUAACUUCGUG